UACGUAGGCAGCGAGCGUUGUUCGGAGUUACUGGGCGUAAAGCGUGCGCAGGCGGUUUUGUAAGUCUGUCGUGAAAUCCCCGGGCUCAACCUGGGAAUUGCGAUGGAGACUGCAAGGCUAGAAUCUGGCAGAGGGGGGUAGAAUCCACGUGUAGCAGUGAAAUGCGUAGAGAUGUGGAGGAACACCGAUGGCGAAGGCAGCCCCCUGGGUCAAGAUUGACGCUCAUGCAC
rnacentral:rRNA from 1 species